rnacentral:ncRNA from 1 species
UGAGGUGGCAAACGACCUGUGACCCGGACAUCUCUGAAUGGGGAAACCCACUCAUCACAAGAUGAGUAUCUUGCGCUGAAUCCAUAGGCGUAAGAGGCGAACCAGGGGAACUGAAACAUCUAAGUACCCUGAGGAAAAGAAAUCAACCGAGAUUCCCCUAGUAGCGGCGAGCGAACGGGGACCAGCCCUUAAGCAUGUGACUGAUUAGGCGAAUACGCUGGGAAGCGUGGCCAUAGUGGGUGAUAGCCCCGUAGCCGAAAAUCUGAUCAUGUGAAAUCGAGUAGGUCGGGGCACGAGAAACCUUGACUGAAGACGGGGGGGACCAUCCUCCAAGGCUAAAUACUCCUGGCUGACCGAUAGUGAACCAGUACCGUGAGGGAAAGGCGAAAAAGAACCCCGGAGAGGGGAGUGAAAUAGAUCCUGAAACCGUGUGCGUACAAGCAGUAGGAGCGGACUUGUUCCGUGACUGCGUACCUUUUGUAUAAUGGGUCAGCGACUUAUAUUCAGUGGCGAGGUUAACCGUAUAGGGGAGCCGUAGGGAAACCGAGUCUUAACUGGGCGACACAGUCGCUGGAUAUAGACCCGAAACCGAGCGAUCUAUCCAUGAGCAGGGUGAAGGUUGAGUAACAUCAACUGGAGGCCCGAACCAGGAUCUGUUGAAAAAGAUUUGGAUGACUUGUGGAUCGGAGUGAAAGGCUAAUCAAGCUCGGAGAUAGCUGGUUCUCCUCGAAAGCUAUUUAGGUAGCGCCUCACGUAUCACCGCCGGGGGUAGAGCACUGUUUCGGCUAGGGGGUCAUCCCGACUUACCAACCCGAGGCAAACUCCGAAUACCGGUGAGUGCCAG